rnacentral:rRNA from 1 species
GACAUGGCAGGAAUCCUGGAGAGAUCCGGGAGUGCUCGAAAGAGAACCUGCACACAGGUGCUGCAUGGCUGUCGUCAGCUCGUGUCGUGAGAUGUUGGGUUAAGUCCCGCAACGAGCGCAACCCUUGUCAUUAGUUGCUACGCAAGAGCACUCUAAUGAGACUGCCGGUGACAAACCGGAGGAAGGUGGGGAUGACGUCAAGUCCUCAUGGCCCUUAUGGGUAGGGCUUCACACGUCAUACAAUGGUACAUACAGAGGGCUGCCAACCCGCGAGGGGGAGCUAAUCCCAGAAAGUGUAUCGUAGUCCGGAUUGUAGUCUGCAACUCGACUACAUGAAGUUGGAAUCGCUAGUAAUCGCGGAUCAGCAUGUCGCGGUGAAUACGUUCCCGGGUCUUGUACACACCGCCCGUCACACCAUGGGAGCGGGUUUUACCAGAAGUAGGUAGCUUAACCGUAAGGAGGGCGCUUACCACGGUAGGAUUCGUGACUGGGGUGAAGUCGUAACAAGGUAGGCGUAGUGCU